AUCUAGAACAUGGCGAGUGAAAGAAGGCACACAGAGGAGUCCAUAUGGAAUGAUUCAACUUAUGUGAAAUUUAUGAAUAGGCAAAAGUCAAAAUAGCGGUUCCUUCUGGGGGGUUACAGAUGGCUUAGGAGAGCAUGUUUCAUUGUCUUAAGGAGAGUUGAGGGACCAGCUCCGUGGCCAAGUGGUUGAGUUCGUGCCCUCUGCUUCGGUGGCCUGGGGUUUGCCGGUUCAGAUCCUGGGUGCAGACGUGGCACCACUCAUUGGGCCAGGCUGGGGUGGUGUCCCAUAUAGCACAACCAGAAGGACCUGCACCUGGAGUGUACAGCUAAAAAUUUGGGAGCUGGAAAUAUUUGAGUGGUCAAAGUUAUAAAGAGAUGGCUGGGAAGGUGACUGAAAAAUAGAAAGUAGAAAAAAAUAAGCCAAAGCUCCACUUACUGACAGUGACUAAACCUGAAUGAUACUGGAGAAAAAAAAUAAAAUCAUAACAAAGAAGCAGGAAAAAGAAAAAAGAUACUGCCCAUACUAGUCUCUUAGAUCUACCACAUGGGCAGCCGCUAAUGUGUUUUUUGGCGCUGUGGCAUUUCCUGCUCCAGGAAUGCAUAUAAAUGGAAUUAUAUAGUAUGUUGUCUUUCGUGUCUUUUUUUCUUUCAUUCAACACAAUGUUGAAACGCAUCCAUGUUGUGUAUAUCUUGUGUUCCUUCCUUUUUAUGGCUGAAAAGCAUUCUCGUGUGUGGGAAUCAUUACAAAUCAUUCCACCACGUGACUUUUUGUGUCUGGGUCCUCUCACUGACAAGAUCUUGGUGGUGAUGAAGAGCAGAAGGAAUUAGCGCUGAUGCUCGUGGAAAGAACUUGGGAUUCCAGAGUGGGAGAGAGGCAGUAUAUGUUAGGGUCUCGGCAGCAGCCGAAAUGAACUAUUUUGUGGCCAACAAAGUGGUCUGUGUGAGCAUUAAAAUUGGGGCACAGGCGGAGCUGGAAAGCAGGCACUGGAUGCUCUGGAUGCUCUGUAUAAACCAGGGAUGCGGGGAGGGCCCUGCGAGGGGAUCUGGGAGGUGUAUCCGCGCCUGUCUUGGAAGAGCUGGCCUUGCCUCCUGCCUCAGCUAAUUGCUGCUGUUGAGCCUCUUGUUGUUUUUGCUGAAUAGGCUUGUAUUUGGCUCUCUUGAGUUUUGCUCUGUGGUUCUUGAACCAAACCUG
rnacentral:lncRNA from 1 species